CCUACGGGGGGCUGCAGUCGAGAAUCUUCCGCAAUGGACGAAAGUCUGACGGAGCGACGCCGCGUGAUUGAUGAAGCUUUUCGGAGUGUAAAGAUCUUUUAUGAGGGAAGCGGUACCUCAUGAAUAAGGGGCUCCUAAUCUCGUGCCAGCAGGAGCGGUAAUACGAGAGCCCCGAGCGUUAUCCGGAAUUAUUGGGCGUAAAGGGUGCGUAGGUGGUAGUGUUAGUCGUUUGUCAAAUCUCUGGGCUUAACCUAGAAACCGCGAACGAAACGGCACAACUUGAGAGUGUGAGGGGUAUAGGGAACUCAUGGUGUAGGGGUGAAAUCCGUUGAUAUCAUGGGGAACACCAAAAGCGAAGGCACUAUACUGGCAAUUCUGACACUCAAGCACGAAAGCGUGGGUAGCGAAUGGGAUUAGAUACCCUUGUAGUC
rnacentral:rRNA from 1 species